UGUCUUUUUAGUAUAAAAAUAUAAAUGACUUCCAAUCAUUUGAUCCUAGAUAACCUAGGAAAAGACAA
rnacentral:tRNA from 1 species